GCUAUUCAGACACGUUGUCUACGUGGCUACGUAAGUUUCUACGUAAGAUGCUCGGUACCUGGUCCUGCAGGGAGGCCGGAGCUACUCCAUGGCUCCUACCAUCGCGCGGCUGGAUGGCCGCAUGCGUGUGCAUUGCAGACUUUUUGUUGUUGCCUUUUCGGAUGUGCAUGCACCUGUGCACGAGGAACUUCCUUCUUUGGAACUGCUUCUUGCAUGAGCUGCUUCGGAUAUUUCGUCUCCUGGCCUGGCUUAUUUCGUUUCGGUGCUGCUGAGACCUCCUUUCGCGGAAUAUUACUCAAUGACAGUGUGCGAAGAACGCGAGUUCCCCUUCUCGACGAAAAUCGUGGACUAACAGUUUGAAGUCAUUGAACUACUUCCAAGAGUUGUAUCGACAUCAACAGGAAUACGAUUUCAGUGCAAUAUGAUGCUGGAUGACCUUAUCACGAUAACCCAUGAUUAUAAACCAUUAUAAACACAGAAUCAACAAAAACAUCUGCGACACGCACCUGGCGCAUGGCUACAUUUCUUAAAUGAAUCUGAUCGAGGGUGGGGAAAUCUGAAAUAUCUGAAAGGCAAGACAAAUUUAUAGCAGAGUCAUGAAAUUCUGCAACAGCAACAUGCACAGAAUGACCUCCGUAUAAAAAAAGUAUCACCACCUGACUACUCACAUGUUUCCCCGCAGAAGAACAUGCAUUAUGCUAGUGCCAUUUUCUGCAAGAAAAGGCUUGCACAUCAAUGCGUAUAAUCAAGAGUACAUAACCCCCAUUAUGUACUCUUGGUAUAAUACGGUAUUGAUAUGAUCAAGAGUACAUAAACCUCUUGAUAUCAUGUGAUGUGAAAGCCAUCA